AGCGAUAUGAGUCAAAGAGAAAUAGUUUUUUACUUUAUUUUACAUCGUUUUUAUAGCCAACAUGAAUUAUUAAUCAAGAAUUCUGAAUACCAAUUCUUGAAUUUGAAUUAUGUUAUCCACCGUACUGUACACACUGUUCGUAUCGCUAGUUUUUGCUAAAGACAAUGAAGUCGUUUUACAAAUAAAACCUGAAACUUUAAUCAGCACCUUUAAGUCGUUGAAGACCUCAGGAUAUUUUCAAAAACUAGCUGAUGAAUUUGCGCUGAAAACUGCGGAACAGUUCAUUAAACAACUCAAAAAGCAUCAAAAGAGUUUUACAAGCACACGAGAACAAUUGGAUGAAUUGCUCAAACGUCUUCAAAGUCCAACUUCAAAGAAACUUCGUAAAGCGCCAAUAGGUCAAGCGGUAUAAUAACUACUCAGAACCGCAGCCAAUAAUUUCGGACGGCAAAUUAUCUCACGACGACGACGUUCAACGGAGAAUUAAAAGCACAUCCAAACAAAAAGCCAGCGAAAGAGCUUCUUCUGACGAAAGAAAAAGUGAACAAGUAAUGUUGACUCUUAUGGAAACGCCUCCUCCGGAUGGAGAUAAUAUGGAAAAUGAAUCAGUUCUCACGGAAGUAGAGGAAAAGAAGACCGAAAAUCCUUUGAAUUUGUAUAAAAUUAAUGGCAAGCAUUUUAGAAGAUAUGAUUUCUUCUGGAAAUAAAAAAACUAUAUUAAAAAAA